rnacentral:rRNA from 1 species
GGGUGCGAUCAAACCAGCACUAAUGCACCGAAUCCCAUCAGAACUUCACCGUUAAACGUGCUUAGGCAAAGGUAGUACUUGGAUGGGUGACCUCUUGGGGAGUCUUCGUGUUACACCCC